AGAGUUUGAUCCUGGCUCAGGAUGAACGCUAGCGGCAGGCUUAAUACAUGCAAGUCGUGGGGCAGCACAGGUAGCAAUACUGGGUGGCGACCGGCAAACGGGUGCGGAACACGUACGCAACCUUCCUUUAAGCGGGGGAUAGCCCAGGGAAACUUGGAUUAAUACCCCAUAAGACAAUAGGAUGGCAUCAUUCAGUUGUUAAAGCUCCGGCACUUAAAGAUGGGCGUGCGGCUGAUUAGGUAGUUGGCGGGGUAACGGCCCACCAAGCCAACGAUCAGUAACUGGUGUGAGAGCACGACCAGUCACACGGGCACUGAGACACGGGCCCGACUCCUACGGGAGGCAGCAGUAAGGAAUAUUGGUCAAUGGACGCAAGUCUGAACCAGCCAUGCCGCGUGGAGGAUGAAGGCCCUCUGGGUUGUAAACUUCUUUUAUUGGGGAAGA
rnacentral:rRNA from 1 species